GAUGAACGCUGGCGGCGUGCCUAACACAUGCAAGUCGAGCGAUCUUCUUCGGAAGAGAGCGGCGGACGGGUGAGUAACGCGUGGGUAACAUGCCCUGUACACGCGGAUAACAUACCGAAAGGUAUGCUAAUACGAGAUAAUAUGCUUUUAUCGCAUGGUAGAAGUAUCAAAGCUCCGGCGGUACAGGAUGGACCCGCGUCUGAUUAGCUAGUUGGUAAGGUAAUGGCUUACCAAGGCGACGAUCAGUAGCCGACCUGAGGGGGUGAUCGGCCACAUUGGAACUGAGACACGGUCCAAACUCCUACGGGAGGCAGCAGUGGGGAAUAUUGCACAAUGGGCGAAAGCCUGAUGCAGCAACGCCGCGUGAGCGAUGAAGGCCUUCGGGUCGUAAAGCUCUGUCCUCAAGGAAGAUAAUGACGGUACUUGAGGAGGAAGCCCCGGCUAACUACGUGCCAGCAGCCGCCGUAA
rnacentral:rRNA from 1 species